rnacentral:lncRNA from 1 species
GCUUACUCAUGCAUGAAUAUGUGCAACACAAACAUAACAAGUCACUAGUGUUAGUGUUAUAUACUUACCAACGGUGCAAUUUGCCUAUGUAUUAUACAUGGUUGUAACCUUAGUGUUAAGUUGAAUGGUUGAAGUGGUUAUGUGCGUCGACGUUCCCGAUUUGGAUUACCGAUUCCCGAUCGUUAUUGACUUUUUCCCGAUCGAAAUGUAUCGUUUCCGACAUCCCGUAUUUCCGAUUUCGCUUUCCCGACCGGCCUUCCCGUUUCCGUUCCCGUUUCGCUUUCCCGACCGGCCUUCCCGUUCCCGUUCCCGCAUAAAAAAUAUAGUAGCGGGAAUGGUUAGAGUAUUUUCCC